AUUGAACGCUGGCGGCAGGCUUAACACAUGCAAGUCGAACGGUAACAUAAAGAAGCUUGCUUCUUUGAUGACGAGUGGCGGACGGGUGAGUAAUGCUUGGGAAUCUAGCUUAUGGAGGGGGAUAACUACGGGAAACUGUAGCUAAUACCGCGUAAUGUCGAAAGAUUAAAGUGUGGGACCUUCGGGCAACAUGCCAUAGGAUGAGCCCAAGUGGGAUUAGGUAGUUGGUGAGGUAAAGGCUCACCAAGCCGACGAUCUCUAGCUGGUCUGAGAGGAUGACCAGCCACACUGGGACUGAGACACGGCCCAGACUCCUACGGGAGGCAGCAGUGGGGAAUAUUGCGCAAUGGGGGCAACCCUGACGCAGCCAUGCCGCGUGAAUGAAGAAGGCCUUCGGGUUGUAAAGUUCUUUCGGUAGCGAGGAAGGCAUUUAGUUUAAUAGACUAGGUGAUUGACGUUAACUACAGAAGAAGCACCGGCUAACUCCGUGCCAGCAGCCGCCGCAG
rnacentral:rRNA from 1 species